CCUACGGGAGGCAGCAGUGAGGAAUAUUGGUCAAUGGGAGAGAUCCUGAACCAGCCAAGCCGCGUGAGGGAAGACGGCCCUAUGGGUUGUAAACCUCUUUUGUCGGAGAACAAAACCCGGGACGAGUCCCGGACUGCGUGUAUCCGAAGAAAAAGCAUCGGCUAACUCCGUGCCAGCAGCCGCGGUAAUACGGAGGAUGCGAGCGGUAUCCGGAUUUCUUGGGGUUACAGGGGGCGUGGGCGGUCGGUUAAGUCAGCGGUAAACUUGCGGGGCGCGACCCCGUCGAGCCGGUGCGACGGGCAGACUUGAGUGGGCGAGAGGUACGCGGAAUGCGGGGUGUAGGGGUG
rnacentral:rRNA from 1 species